GAUAAAAUGGCUGAAUUAUAGGCAAUAAAUUGUAAAUUUAUUAAUGAAAUAUGAAAAUUUCUUUUAUCA
rnacentral:tRNA from 1 species